GCAGUCGUGGCCGAGUGGACUAAGGCGUCUGACUCGAAAUCAGAUUCGCUCUGCGAGCGCAGGUUCGAAUCCUGCCGGCUGCG
rfam:Phlebotomus papatasi Contig34503.1, whole genome shotgun sequence.